rnacentral:lncRNA from 1 species
GCAAGGAAACUGCUACGCAUAUUGUGAAGUGUAGAAAAGAGGCCUUAUCAUAAGUUCAUAACACAAGAGAUGGAUCAGUCUUUGACAUUUAAUCUCUCAGCAUCUCAUCCUUUUCAGUAAUCGAACGAUCAUGGAUUCAACGACCAAUGAAGGAGCCUCUUCCUCUUCGUCUUCUUCUUACACCCAUUCAUGGACAUAUGAUGUCUUCCUCAGUUUUAGAGGAGAGGAUACCCGCUACAAUUUUGUAGGUCAUCUGUACAACAAUUUGGUUCAGAAGGGAUUCAAAACCUUCAUAGACGACGAGGCGCUUAAAAGAGGAGAGGAAAUAUCGUCGGCACUUCUCAAAGCAAUCGAGCAGUCGAGGAUUUCUGUUGUUGUCUUCUCCGAAAACUACGCUUCCUCACGGUGGUGCUUAGAUGAACUCGUUCACAUCUUUCACUGUAAAGAACAACUGCAGCAGAUGGUUUUUCCAGUUUUUUACAAGGUGGAUCCAUCGGAUGUGAGGAACCAAAGAAAGAGCUUCGGUAAGGCACUUGUUGACCAUGAAAGCAAACUCAAAGAUAACAUGGACAAGGUGUUGAGAUGGAGAGAAACUCUUACAAAAGCAGCAAAUUUGUCUGGCUGGUCAUUCCUGGCCGACGGGUAUUUUUCUGACCUCUAUGUACUAAUAAGCUUCAAUUCAUAAGCAUAAUAUGAAGUUUUUUAGUCAAAAUGGUUUUUCUAAGAUAGCGUAACUCUUUACUUUGUUCUUUAAAUUUUAAAAUCGAUAAAAGUAGUUCUUGAGAUUGUCCAUUGUUAAUCAUUUUAGUUAUUCCGUAAAAAAAAUCUCUCUUAAAUUGAGCGUAUUUUUGUCAAAUCAAUCACUCCACUUGAACUGAUGGUUUCUCCAGCUUAGCUGAGAUUUCUCAGGUAAUGACCAAAGUGAUUAACGGUGGACACUCUCAAGAACCACUUUUAAAAAUUUUAAAUUUCAGUGACCAAAAUAAAGAGUUAUAACAAUUUCAGCAACUAUUUUAGUUAAAAUGACUAACAUAAAUAUAUAAUAUUUGAGAAAUGCUAAGGAAACCCUUUCAAAGUGGAACUCUCUUCAUGAGCUCUCACACACCUCAUAGUUUAAUGUUAGUUCCUUUGCCAACAUUAUAAAAUAUUGUGACAAAAAAUGAGGUGGCAAAAAGUUCAUAGAAAGUAUCACUUUUGAGAAAUUAUCCUUAGCAUUUUUCAUAUUAUUUUGAUAUUAUUCCCUCACAAUAUUAUAGGAAAACUUGUUUAAGUUAUUCAUUAUUAGUAUGUGAAGCAAACACAUAUUGGAGAAUAUAAUCUCACAUCGGUCAUAUGAUAAAAUAAUAUAUAACAAAUAUAUGAGAGUUUGCACUCCUAAUAGAGAAUUUUUGUAGUAAAAUCUCAUACCGAGUAGUAGGAGAUUAAAUUGAGACACUAUUGGUAAUUUUGAUGGUAAAUCAUGUUUGGCCUAUAAAAUUUAUCAACACAUAGCUAAACGCCAUUCAUCUAUACUUAAUAUAUAAUGCCAACAACUCAUUUGGGGUCACGGACUUCACCAAAAAGAAUGAAACACAAAUGGACCCCCCCCCCCUUCUCCAAACAAAAAAGUUCAAAACCAGCCCAAACGAAUGCAUAAAAUAGUGCAGAGGCAAUUUUGUCAUAAAAAGAAUUUUUUUUAUUUUUUUUUUAUGAUUAGUAUCUUACUAUUACGUGGAAUAUCCAGGGGUUUCUUCUAGCAUAGUAUAAUAUUAUUCAUUUAGUUCAAAUAUUUGACUUUCUUUCUCUUAAGUAGAGAGUUGUCUGUCUGCAAUUGAAAUAUUACAUGGAACAUCCACGGAUUUCUUCUAGUUUAAUUAUAAUAAUGUUCCUUUUUAUGCUUUUAAACUUGUAGGCAUGAAUACAAAUUUAUUCAAAAAAUUGUUGAAGAUAUUUCGGUCCAAGUUUUAGAUAGUACCUAUUUGGAUGUGGCAAAGUAUCCAGUUGGAAUAGAUUUCGAGCAGCCGGAAACUCCGAUAAGCUGGAAGACGUGUUUGCAGAAGAUGUUUGAAAUAGUUUGCAAUUUCUUAGGCGUUUUGUAUGUCAUCAUCUUCCUACUAAUUUGGGUCAUCUUCGUAGUAUUUUGGGUCCGUGGCGCCGUACGCGAAGGUUUUUUUAGGAGUUUUUUUCAAUAAAUUAUAAGAGACUUGUCGCAUACUUAAAUUAACAUACAUUAUAUCUUUGUUUCUUAUGUUUUCAUUAUAUUCCAGCAUUCAUCAUAUAUAUAUCAUUCUAUUUUGUAGUUUAUGAUGCAAUAAUAUAUUUUAAGUAUAAGCAGACAUUUAUUUACAUGAAAUAUAAUAGAUUUAUAAGUAUAAGCAGACAAAAUAGAGACUUGUCUGCUUAGGUGUUCCCCUAGCUGCCUAGGCGCUAGGUUUUAAUCCACCGCCCGACUAGCGCCUAUCGUCUUUUAGAACCUUGGUUAUAGUAGUGGUGGGAGUUUAAUAGGCGUAUGCCUAGCCUA